rnacentral:rRNA from 1 species
AUUGAACGCUGGCGGCAUGCCUUACACAUGCAAGUCGAACGGCAGCACGGGGGCAACCCUGGUGGCGAGUGGCGAACGGGUGAGUAACAUAUCGGAACAUACCCUAGAGUGGGGGAUAACGUAGCGAAAGUUACGCUAAUACCGCAUACGAUCUAAGGAUGAAAGUGGGGGAUCUUCGGACCUCAUGCUCAUGGAGUGGCCGAUAUCUGAUUAGCUAGUUGGUGAGGUAAAGGCUCACCAAGGCGACGAUCAGUAGCUGGUUUGAGAGAACGACCAGCCACACUGGAACUGAGACACGGUCCAGACUCCUACGGGAGGCAGCAGUGGGGAAUUUUGGACAAAUGGGGGCAACCCUGAUCCAGCAAUGCCGCGUGAGUGAAGAA